rnacentral:rRNA from 1 species
AACGAACGCUGGCGGCAGGCCUAACACAUGCAAGUCGAGCGAGGACUUCGGUCCUAGCGGCGGACGGGUGAGUAACGCGUGGGAACGUGCCCUUUGCUUCGGAAUAGCCCUGGGAAACUGGGAGUAAUACCGGAUGAGCCCUUUGGGGGAAAGAUUUAUCGGCGAAGGAUCGGCCCGCGUUGGAUUAGGUAGUUGGUGGGGUAAUGGCCUACCAAGCCGACGAUCCAUAGCUGGUUUGAGAGGAUGAUCAGCCACACUGGGACUGAGACACGGCCCAGACUCCUACGGGAGGCAGCAGUGGGGAAUCUUAGACAAUGGGGGAAACCCUGAUCUAGCCAUGCCGCGUGAGCGAUGCAGGCCUUAGGGUUGUAAAGCUCUUUCAGCUGGGAAGAUAAUGACGGUACCAGCAGAAGAAGCCCCGGCUAACUCCGUG